UGGAACUUCAAGUCCUCGUCCGAGCGCCACCCCUCGUGGAACUUCAAGUCCUCCUCCUCCGAGAGCUACCCCGCCUGGAACUUCAAGUCCUCCUCCUCCGAGCGCUACCCCGCCUGGAACUUCAAGUCCUCCUCCUCCGAGCGCCGCUACGCCUGGAACUCCGAGCUCCAGCUCGCGUGGAACUUCAAGUCCUCCUCCCGAGGCCAACUCAGCUUCUCUCCUUGUUGCUACUCUCUCCCCUAUCUUGUACUUGUCCAUUGCCUUAGUUUUGUUGUGCUGAUACUGAUUCUAUGUUAUAACCAUUAUGAUUCUGAUCAUAUUUGUAGUGACAUUUAUUAUUUGAAUAAAUCUCGGUUCAUUUUCUGAAAUUAUGCAUACUGGUAUAUUAUCUUUUUAUCUUUUACCUCCUCUCUUAAUAAUAUGAUCCGUCGUUCAUAAAAAUGGAACAUAUUUCAUAUUCAAUAGAAGUAUCCACUUCCAGUAUCACUAAUCUGAUCAAAAUAUUUUGAUAAUGUGCUUGUAUCUUUUUGAGGAUCUCGUGUAGUUCGUGUUUAUCAUUGGAUAAUAGAUUGAAUCAAACAAUAUUAUUUUCCAAAGAUUCUUAUGUAGUUUACUGAUCAUAUAUUAAAUAUGCAAUUAAUGAAGAUUUGAGUUGAUUUUAUGAUAUUUUGUAUCUUUAUAUUAAGGAUAAUUGAUUUGAUGAGAUUUUGGCAGAUUAAGAUGAAUUAAAGAUUACCUUGUGAAGAUGGAUUCAUACUCUAAAUAUGGAAUGCUUGUUCAACAUUAAUAGAGGUUUUGUUGUUAAGGCAAGUGUUUUUUUUAAGUGGCUGCCAAUGUGUCAAUUGAAGUGACCACUUCUGUCAGCAAAUCGACAGGCAAUAUAAUUUACCUUAUUUGGAGUUGGAAAUCUGUUCAACUAAUUUAGUUGGACAACGACCUAAAUGAUUUUUUGGAUGUGUGCUAGAUCAUAUUUGAAGAUUCAUCUUGUGGAGCAAUAAAUCUUUGAAUAUCGGGUCAAAUCAAACAAUCAAGUCCCGUGAAAUAUGGAGAUUGAAUCAAGACUGAUUUGAAGACUUAUCCUAAAGAUCUCUUUGAUUUACUUUGGACUCUAUGAGGAUAUUUGUAAAGCCUUUUUUUGAGUCUAUUUUAGUGGGGUCUUGAUUGUUAUUUAUCUUUAUCUUAGCCGGCCACAAACUCUUAUAUAUUUAGAGGCUUGUGUAAGUUAGAAUGAUGUAGAGAAAACACUUCCAGUUCAUAGAGGAACAUCAUUUUGUAAGUGCAUUUAAAACCUUUUGUUGUUAGUUUUACAAAGUUCUAAUGGGGAGAAUUUAGUGAUGAAAGGUCUAGUUUUUAAGAUACAAUAGUGAAGAUUCUUCAUGGGUAUGUGUUAAAACUAGCUUCAUUAGUUGUAUUUGUUUCAAAGAUAGUGGAUUCAUCUCAUUGAGCUCAGGCCAGUUCUUGACAUUUUUGGGGCCUUAGGCAAAAUAAUAAAAUAGGGUUUUAGGUUCCUUAAAAGUUGGAGAAAAUUUUUUUUAAGCCCCAUAAAAGUUGGUAAAAAAAUUUUGGGCCCUUAAAUGCUAAACUUUUUUGGGCCUUUUAAAAACUGGAAAACAAUAUUUUGAACCCCUUUCAGCCCUGAGCCCUGGGUGGCUGCACCUCCAGAUGACCCCCAAGGCCGGGACUGAUUGAGUUAGGCUUCACAAAUAUAAAAAAAUCGAAUUCUGUAAUCAAUUUGUUGUCCUCUAUUUUGUUUUGUUUUUCGCAAGGUUUGAAAAGGUGUUCACCUCCGCAAUCACUUUUGUUCAUAUAUCUUACAAUUAUCAACUAAUUCAUGUAAAAAAUUCAAAUGAAAAUCACUAAAAAAAUCCAAAUAUAAAUAUUGUCAUAUAAAUAUCCAUAAACAAUAUUCAUCUAAAUUUUACAUUUUCUUGUCAAAGAGACAUUGGCUUAAUAGCAUUUGAACCUUUAUAAGAUUCAAACGUUAUGUAAAUCAUUCAUGCAUGUUUUAGAUAUAUGCUAGUUUUCUAUUCAUUCAUGCAUUGUAAUAAUUUGAUUUAGGCUAUUUACUACUUGCCAUUAUACUUAUCCUUUUAAUUACAUUUAUUGUUGAAACAAAAUUUGAAUUUUAAAAGUCGGAUUAAAAAUUAUUAAAAUUUUUUUAAAAAAAAUAUAAAAUUAGUUUAACUGAUUUUUUGUUCAGUCUAAUUCUAUGGAAGUGAUUCACACAAUAAUUAUACCGAGAGCCACAAGGAAGUGAGUUGAAUAAGCUUGAAGUCGAGUAUAGUUCAGAUGGAGGAGGGGAUUUAUAUAAAGUGUGUAAUCUAAUAUGCGCUAUUACAUAUAUUCAAGAGUAGAGUAGUAAUUGAUUGGAAAGAUGCCAUCUGAGCUGACUUGAUGUAACCAGCUAUAGCUAAAUUCAAUCGUGAGAAGUUGGUGUCGGUAUGUGACAAGGCAACGAGUUACUUUAAUCUUGGUUUUAGAGGCGUCCAUGGCAGGUUGGUCCAAUUAAAAUUUUAGGUUUGCUUCGGUUUGAAAAAUAAUUUUAAAAUUUUAAUUAAAUUUAAUUCAGAUAAAAAUAUUAAAAUUUAAGUCCGUAUUAAUUUUUAUAUUAUUUUAAAAAAUAAUAUAUAAAAAAAUUCUAAAAAUCUCAAAGUAGAUGUGUAGAGUUAAAUAACACUAAAAUAGGUGCAGUUUAACAAGUAAAUGCUCCUAAAAUAGUAACAAAAUUAACAAUAAAAUAAUAGUAACAUAAUUUUUCCUUAUUUGGUUUUGCAUUUUUUUUAAAAUUCUGUGUUCUUGGAUUGACAGGAGCAAAAGUUCUUGAUCGGAGUUGUUCUUAUGGUUCCUUGCUAUUCUGUAGAAUCGGUGAGUUUAUUUGCUAUUCUGUAGAAUCGGAGUUGUUCUUAUGAUCAAUGUUGCAAACUUUUGCUUCUAAAGAUGCUUGCAGUGGGAAUUUUUGUUGUUAGACUCCUGUGACUUCUUUUAUGACUCUUCAAUAGUCUGAUCAAUAAAGUCUUUGUUUUGAAUGGUUUUCUUUUGUUGCAAAGGAUGGUGCACAAGAUGAAUUCAGUUUUAUGCUGUAUUUUAAAAUGCUAUGCUGUAUGUAUGCUGAUCUGCAUUUUAUUCUCUUGUGUUCUUUGUCUGGUGAUGUUCAAAUUGUUAGGGAGCUUGUUACAAAUUUGUUAACGGUUUUGUUUAUUAAUGUUUUCUCUGUUCAUUGUCUUGGCUUUUCUAAUCUAUUCAUCCUUAUUCUGCAGCAUAUUGAAGACUUGACUCAGGAAAAGUUUUCACUGCAACGAGCUCUUGAGGCCUCACGUACAUUAGCAGAAUCUUUGGCUGCUGAAAAUUCAUCUUUGACUGAUAGUUAUAACCAACAGGUUUGUUUCCAAAUAUUAGAUUAGCNNNNNNNNNNNNNNNNNNNNNNNNNNNNNNNNNNNNNNNNNNNNNNNNNNNNNNNNNNNNNNNNNNNNNNNNNNNNNNNNNNNNNNNNNNNNNNNNNNNNCAUGGUCAUGACAUGUUUUUUUUAUCAGUUCAUCGUGCUUCUCCAUUGCAGCACUUUCUGUCAUUUCAUUAUCCUAAUUUGUAUUCUCAAUCCUUCUUAAAAAUCUCUUAAUUAUCUUACAUUUACUUUUCUCCCCAGAGAAGCAUUGUCAACCGGCUAAAAUCUGACAUGGAGAGCUUACAAGAAGAAAUCAAGGCCCAACUGGUUAGUAUUUACUAUAUUUAGGUUUUGGUAGUCACUUCAAAUUGUUAGAAAUAAUUGAAUCUCAUAUAACUACAUACCACUUUAUGUCAUAUGGUUAAUGCAAUGGUGUUUGUAUGGCAUGUGUCAUGUGUGCACAUAUGCACAUUGGUUUAGACCUGUUUGUGCUUAGAUAAAGUUCUAUCUAAAAAUUGAGAUACCUACUGCUGUCUAUUGCAUCUCUGGUGGUACCCAUUAACCAAAAAAUGCAGUACAAGGAACCCUCUUGAGGUUGUCCAUGUCUUUUGUUGCAAAGGAUGGUGCACAGGAUGUUGUUGAACUUUGGCCUGCAAUGCAAUAGGAAACCAGCAGCAAACCAGCGUGCAGACCAGCAUCCAAGCUGAACCAGAUAAGCAGCAGCAUUUUGUUUAUUUUGUUCAUUUUUAACUUGAUUUAGUUGCAAUGUAAUUUAUACUUAAAAUUAGUAGGAGUAGUUGUUGAUUUAUGUUUGAUGUUAUAGCUGGUAUGUCAGCUACAUUUUGUUUGUAAUUCUAUCUAGGCUUUAGUCAUGUAUCUUAUACUUGACUCGUUCAAGCUUUUGAUGGUUUUUGAACCAUGAACAAUAAGAAAUGAAUCAGAUAUGUUGAUGAAGAAUUGAACAUGUGGUUUCUAUUGGAUUUCUUCUGAAAUUAAGAAAUGAAUCAUUUUUCAUUCAUCAUUGCAUUGCUUCAUCUUUAGCUCAAAUGUGAAUCAUUUUGCAUUUUCUCUUCUGAUGAAUAUUCCAAUCUAUUGGACAAAUACACUAGUGUGAUGUUGGAAACAUGGAUCUAGAUUUGAAUUGUAUGCCUUGGGUUUCAAUAUAAAUGAAGCAGAAAUUAUAUAUUUAAAUUUGAUUUAUUAUAUAAAUAGUAAGAAUGAAAUGAAAAGUAUAAAAAUAUUUUGAAAAUAUGAAUGUUACAUUUUUAAAUAUAUUUUAUCCAAUUUCUGUUGAAAUAAUGUUUUGAUUGAUUGUAGGUUAAACAGGGAUUUAACAAUGCUAAUGUUAUAAAGUCAUAUUUUGACGUCUUUAAUCUUAUAUUAUAACUCCAAUGUUAAACUAAAUCAAACUUAAAGUUUAAGUUAAUUUUUAUCACCCCCAAUGUCUUAUAAUAUUGUUCAAAUUAGUAAAACAUUUUAAAGGAUUUGGUAUGUAGGCAAAAUUUCAUACAAACAUAGAUAACGAAAUUAGUCCAAUUGAGUAACACUGUACUAGGAAUUAGUAAAAACCAGCAGUAGCAUAUUUAUGUAAUUGUAAUAAUUCAUUUCUAAUUAUUUAUUAUUGAAAAUAAAUAUAAUUGUAAUAAUUUUUAAUAAUUUAUUUUGUAAUUGUUAAAUAAUUUUAAAAAUUUCUAUUAUAUAUCAUUUUUAAUCUAAUGUCCUUAAAAGUUAUUUUCUAUUUUCACCUCACCGCUACAGCUGCGUUUGAAUCUAAACACACACUCCACCGCUGUUUCUAAUCUCACUGCUACAGUACCCAAUCUCACCGCUACAGUAACUAAUCUCACCGCCACCGCUAUUUUUAACCUCACCGGAGCUAAACACACCGCUCAUCCAAACUAAGCCUUAGAUAAUAUUAUAUUAUUUGAGACGAAAAAAAAGAGCCAUAUCUUUUCGGAAGGAAUUGAUGAGACCGUGUUUAAAAAAGUUGGUACGGAUGUAACACUUGUCCUGAAAAGAACCAUUGACCUUUCUUUAAUCGUGGUUGCCGGGGGCGUAUAAGGAAAAUAUAUAGGAAGCGGCCAUAGUUGAACUGACUCCAAUCGGUGGUUCCCGUGUUGAAAGUCCAAGCAUUAUAGGAUGGUGUGCCUACUGUUGUAGUCCCUUUGCAAUGUUAAAGUUAAGGUUUUAAUCCUACUUUAAUUACGUUUUUAAUAGAUUAAAAUAUGAUUUUGAUCGUAUAAAUAAAUAUUUUUUUUAUUUUACUAUUUAUGAAAUUUUAAAAUUUGUACGAAUUUUCUAAGUGUACUUUUGCCAAUAUGGAUGCCAUUCAAUAACUGCCCCCACCCACGACCCUAAAUAACUCAAUUAUGGUCUCUCUUCACACAUGGGAAACGACUUUUAAUUAAUUGACCCAUAAGCAUGAGCUUUUUUCAUCAUCUUCCAAGAAAGUCACACAGACCCAUUAUUUCUAUAUAUAUAUGUUCCAUUGGUGAAGAUGAAGAUAUACAAAUUACACAUUACAUUUGAAAACUAGAGGCACAGAUCUAAGAGAGGGGCGACUGAGAAGUGAGAACACAGCAAAUUUUCAAUGAGUGGGAAAAUCACCAUGGCCAUGGCUGCACUUUUUGUAGUUCUAGCUGCAAAUGUGUUGCAGAGUACAAAUGGUGCAACUUAUACAGUGGGUGACUCUACUGGCUGGAGAGUCCCUGCCAAUAAUGAUUUCUACGAUGAUUGGGCUGAUAACAAAGCCUUCGUUGUUGGGGAUGUUCUCGGUGAGUUUUUGAGCUUUAAAAUCUUUGUUAAUUGAGCUUGUUGAUUCGGAAUUUGAUAUUUUUAUGCGUGUGGUUUUGCAGUGUUCAAUUUCACUACCGGACAGCAUGAUGUUGCAGAGGUGACGGAAACUGCUUACGAUGCGUGCACCACUGCCAAUACUAUAUCAACCGUCAGCACCGGUCCGGCAAGGAUAACUCUUAACAGGACCGGCGAAUUUUACUUCAUUUGUACUGUCCCCGGUCACUGUUCCGGCGGGCAAAAGCUCAACGUCGAUGUCAGAAAUGGGAACAACGGUACCGCUGCUGUUCCCGCACCUGGACCGAGUCCCACCACCACGCCUGUAGCUACCAGCCCCACCACCAGUACGCCUCCGACCGCUGCCACGCCCACCUCGCCUGGAACUUCAAGUCCUCCUCCUGGGACCAACUCAGCUUCUUCCCCUGUUUCUAAUCUG
rnacentral:lncRNA from 1 species